rnacentral:rRNA from 1 species
UGGGGAAUAUUGCGCAAUGGGGGAAACCCUGACGCAGCGACGCCGUGUGAGGGAAGAAGGCCUUCGGGUCGUAAACCUCUGUCGGGAGGGAAGAACCGCCUAGGUUCGAAUAGGACUUGGGUCUGACGGUACCUCCAGAGGAAGCACCGGCUAACUCCGUGCCAGCAGCCGCGGUAAUACGGAGGGUGCAAGCGUUAAUCGGAAUCACUGGGCGUAAAGCGCUCGUAGGCGGCAUUGUAAGUCAGGCGUGAAAGCCCUCGGCUCAACCGAGGAACUGCGUUUGAUACUGCAGAGCUUGAGUAUCGGAGAGGGUGGCGGAAUUCCGGGUGUAGGAGUGAAAUCCGUAGAGAUCCGGAGGAACACCAGUGGCGAAGGCGGCCACCUGGACGAUAACUGACGCUGAGGAGCGAAAGCGUGGGUAGCAAACAGG